UGGGGAAUAUUGCGCAAUGGGGGAAACCCUGACGCAUCGACGCCGCGUGAGCGAUGAAGGCCUUAGGGUUGUAAAGCUCUGUUUUAAGGGACGAAUGUUACGGGGAGUAAUAUGCCCUGUAAAUGACGGUACCUUAAGAGGAAGCCCCGGCUAACUACGUGCCAGCAGCCGCGGUAAGACGUAGGGGGCGAGCGUUGUCCGGAAUUACUGGGCGUAAAGAGCACGUAGGCGGGACUUUAAGUCAGGUGUGAAAGACCGGGGCUCAACGCCGGGGUGGCAUUUGAAACUGGGGUGCUUGAGGGAAGGAGAGGAAGGUAGAAUUCCUGGUGGAGCGGUGAAAUGCGUAGAAAUCAGGAGGAAUACCAGUGGCGAGGGGGACUUUCUGGACUGACCCUGACGCUGAGGUGCGAAAGC
rnacentral:rRNA from 1 species